rnacentral:rRNA from 1 species
UACGGGGGGGGGCAAGCGUUGUUCGGAAUUACUGGGCGUAAAGAGCUCGUAGGCGGUUUGGCAAGUCGGAUGUGAAAACUCCAGGCUCAACCUGGAGCCGCCAUUCGAUACUGCUAUGACUAGAGUCCGGUAGGGGAGUGUGGAAUUCCCGGUGUAGCGGUGAAAUGCGCAGAUAUCGGGAGGAACACCGAUGGCGAAGGCAGCACUCUGGGCCGGUACUGACGCUGAGGAGCGAAAGCGUGGGGAGCAAACAGG